ACAAUCUUAAUAAGAGAGAAGUGGGAAAAGGAAUAGUAUUGUAGAAAGAAUAGUGAUAUGCUGGCAUUUUUGUAAUUUUCUGUUAUUUGAAGGCUGAUUUUUGAAACUAUUGAUUUAUCUCACCUCUUUCUCCUCAUAGCCGAUGAGAGAUCAGCUUUCUUUUUCUCCCUUUCUACUUUCUAUGGUUUCUCUCUUUUGAAAUUCUACUCCAAGAAAUCAAAUCUUCUUCAAAUGAUCGCUGCAAAGUCAGAUCAAAAUCAACUCACUUGAGAAAGCCAUUACAGCAACAAAACCAAAGACACGUGCUCGUUCAGCGACAUCCACUUCUUCAAAAGUUGCAUAUUCUUCCACGGGAGUAGUGAGCACUACCUUGCAUUUGAGUUGAUAAAAACCGACCCUGUUGCGCUAGCGUUUCGCGUUCUUUCUAUAUGAUCUGAGGUGGUGCUUCUUAAAAUGGCCAAGUUUUGCUUGGCUAACAAAUGUUGUAGCCUUAUUGCUCCAUAUUAGCAAUAGGAACUCUUAUAGUAUUUGAUUAAUGUUAUUGUUUGAGUUCUUGGCAAAAUCUUUUACCUUUUGAUGUUGAUUGUGAGUAAAUUGUCUUGUAUUUUUCACUAGAUUGGAUUUGUUACUCUAGGAUUAGGACUUGGGUUAUUGCCUCUAGCCUUUAGGUUUUUUAAGGAUUUGUUACUUUGUGAUAUACAAAGAUUGUUAUUUUCGGUUUUUGGUUUUCGACGGGUGCCCUCACGGUCCGCUUGUCUUUGCUCAUAUCGAAUUUAUUUGUUGUAACACUUUUCAUCUGUUUAUUGCACCUUUGGUGAUUCACUACCCUACUUUGUUCAAAA